UGUAUGGGGGCAUGUGCACGCUCUGUUUACACAUCCACUCACACCUGUGCACCCUCUGUAGUUCUAUGGCCUGGGGGGCUCUGUCCUCCUGCUGUGGUCCUACGUCUUUACACACACACCGUAGCAAAGUCUCAUGGAAUGUAUGUCGCGUUUAACGCAAUGAAAUACAACUUUCAGCAACGGAUCUCUUGGCUCUCGCAUCGAUGAAGAACGCAGCGAAAUGCGAUAAGUAAUGUGAAUUGCAGAAUUCAGUGAAUCAUCGAAUCUUUGAACGCACCUUGCGCCCUUUGGCUAUUCCGAAGGGCAUGCCUGUUUGAGUAUCAUGAACACCUCAACUCUCAUGGCUUGCCCAUGAUGAGCUUGGACUUUGGGGGUCUUGCUGGCCUGUGGGCCGGCUCCUCUCAAAUGAAUUAGCUUGCCAGUGUUUGGUGGGCAUCACAGGUGUGAUAACUAUCUACGCUUGUGGUCUUCCGCCAGGUAAUCUUCAGCAAUGAAGGUUCGCUGGAGCUCAUAAACGUCUCUCCUUGGUGGGGACAGAUUUGACCAUUUGAUCUCAGAUCAGGUAGGACUACCCGCUGAACUUAAGCAUAUCAAUAAGCGGAGGAAAAGAAACUAACAAGGAUUCCCCUAGUAACUGCGAGUGAAGCGGGAAGAGC
rnacentral:rRNA from 1 species